AGAGUUUGAUCCUGGCUCAGGACGAACGCUGGCGGCGUGCUUUAUACAUGCAAGUCGAACGAUGAAGUUCCUUCGGGAAUGGAUUAGUGGCGAACGGGUGAGGAACACGUGAGAAACCUGCCUUUCAUUCUGGGAUAACACCGGGAAACCGGUGCUAAUACCGGAUACUCCAUCUUGGCGGCAUCGCCGAGCUGGGAAAAAAUUUUGAUGAAAGAUGGUCUCGCGGCCUAUCAGCUAGUUGGUGAGGUAAAGGCUCACCAAGGCGACGACGGGUAGCCGGCCUGAGAGGGCGACCGGCCACACUGGGACUGAGACACGGCCCAGACUCCUACGGGAGGCAGCAGUGGGGAAUAUUGGGCAAUGGACGAAAGUCUGACCCAGCGACGCCGCGUGAAGGAUGAAGGCCCUAGGGUCGUAAACUUCUUUUGCCAAGCCCUUCACAGCUUGGAGAAUAAGCACCUACUAACUACGUGCCAGAAGUCUCGGUAAUACGUAGGGUGCAAGCGUUAUCCGGAUUUACUGGGCGUAAAGAGUGUGUAGGCGGUUUUUUAAGUCUUUAUUUAAAUCUUGAGGCUCAACCUCGAAACUGGUAAAGAUACUAUUGAACUCGAGGAUUAUUCGGGGUGCUGGAACAGUUGGUGUAGUAGUGAAAUACGUUGAUAUCAACUGGAACACCGAAGGCGAAGGCAAGUGCCUGGAAUUUUCCUGACGCUGAGACACGAAAGCUAGGGUAGCGAAACAGAUUAGAGACCUGUGUAGUCCUAGCCGUAAACGAUGGAUACUAGCUAGUGUGCAAGCACUGGCGUAAGCUAACGCGUUAAGCAUCCCGCCUGGGGAGUACGACCGCAAGGUUAAAACUCAAAGGAAUUGACGGGGACCCGCACAACCAGUGGAGCGUGUGGUUUAAUUCGAGACGAAGCGAAAAACCUCACCAAGGCUUGACAUGCUAGAGUUCUAGCCUCCCCAAAAGGAGGCAAUCCGUAAGGAGACUAGCACAGGUGCUGCAUGGCUGUCGUCAGCUCGUGCCGUGAGGUGUUCCCUUAAGUGGGGAAACGAGUGCAACCCUUGUCUAAUGUUAAAUAUUCAUUAGAGACUGCCUCUAUUUUUAGAGGAGGAAGGAAAGGCGGACGUCAAGUCAGCAUGGCCCUUAUGCCUUGGGCUACACACACCCUACAAUGGCGAAGAACAAUGGGUCGCAAGCUCGUAAGAGCAAGCUAAUCUCAGAAAUUUCGCCUCAGUUCAGAUUGAGGUCUGAAACUCGACCUCAUGAAGUUGGAAUUGGUAGUAAUCGCGGAUCAGCGGGCCGCGGUGAAUACGUUAUCGGGUCUUGUACACACCGCCCGUCAAGCCAUGGAAGCGGGAAGCGGAUGAAGCCUCUAUUUAAUUAGGGUCCAAUCCGAUGCUCGUAACUGGGGCUAAGUCGUAACAAGGCAUCGGUAGCGG
rnacentral:rRNA from 1 species